CAUCAUCAUCAUCAUCAACAACAAUACCCACCGCCACAACAUCAUAGUAUUAGUGCAGCAACAACAACGAGUGCAGGAACUAAUAACAACGUUGUGGUUGUUGAUGUGACAGGAGAUAGUAGGUUCCCUCAAUGGAGCAUCCAAGAAACAAAGGAGUUCCUAAUGAUCCGUGCGGAGCUGGAUCAGACUUUCAUGGAGACAAAGAGGAACAAGCAGCUCUGGGAAGUCAUCUCCAACACCAUGAAAGAAAAGGGUUUCCAUCGAAGCGCUGAGCAGUGCAAGUGCAAGUGGAAAAACCUUGUUACCCGUUAUAAGGGAUGUGAAACGAUGGAGGCAGAAGCAAUGAGGCAGCAAUUCCCAUUCUACAACGAGCUUCAAGCUAUCUUCACCGAUAGAAUGCAGAGGAUGCUUUGGGCCGAAGCAGAAGGCGGAGGCGGAGGCGGAGGAGGAGGAGGAGGUUCUUCUACUAACAAGAAGAAAGCUGCGACGGCGCAGCUGUCUUCGGACGAAGAAGAAGAGGAAGAGAGCGAAUUAGGAGAUCCUCAACAAAAGAAUGUAAAAAGAAAGAAAAGAUUAAAGAAGGUUAAGAGGGUGGAAGAUAGUGGUGGUGCGAGUAAUUUGAAGCAUCUGAAGGGGAUUCUGGAGGAGUUUAUGAGGCAACAGAUGGAGAUGGAGGCGCAAUGGAUGUCGGCAUUCGAGGCGAGGGAGAAUGAUCGGAGGUUGAAGGAGUUGGAAUGGAGGCAGACAAUGGAGGCUUUGGAGAAUCAGAGGAUAAUGAUGGAGCAGAGAUGGAGGGAGAGUGAAGAACAAUGGAGGAUUAGGGAAGAAGAUAGGGCUCAUAAGAGAGAUGCUCUUAUCACUGCACUUCUCAACAAGCUUUCAAGACAACAAGAUCAAUAACCAACUUAGUUAGUUAGUUAGAGUUAGUUAUCUUUGUUGGUUAGAACUAACUUCCUUUUCAUAUUGUGUUUAUGCUACUGAAUUCUCAUGAUGAUGAUGAUGAUGAAGCAAAGCUUAAUUUGACACAUUAUGGAGGGCCUAACUAACAACCGAAAACGGGCAAAAAGAAUUAUGGACAAGGCAUUGACCACAAGAUAAUGGUUCAUCAUGUUGUCUAUUCCAUAAUAUAUAUGAAGAGCACAGUUUUUAGGUUAAUGGACCAUUUUUGCUACAAUGGAUACUCAUCACUACUAUUACACAUACACACACAAUUACAUUUGUUGCUUUCACUUUAUUUUGAUUAAAAUGAAUAAUUUAACUUCUUUUAUGUAUCAUGCUAAAUUUCUAUACUCUACUUCCAUGCAUUUCGGUAAUUGUAUUAAAUGAUGAAGUAGGGUUUUUAGAGUUGUAUAUGUAUAUGUACACAUAAUGCAAUUGUUCCUUACUC